UUUCCGUUGGUGAACCAGCGGAGGGAUCGUUACAGGACUCGCAAGACUCCUACAACCCUGUGAACUUAACUAUAAGCACGUUGCUUCGGCGGGUGUCUCGGAGGGGGUUCUCCCUCCCCGAGACGCUAAACCCGCCGGCAGCCUACUAUACUCUGUCUCUUUGCGUUGGCAUCUCGAGUACAAUCAAACAAGUUAAAACUUUCAACAACAGAUCUCUUGGUUCUG
rnacentral:misc_RNA from 1 species